rnacentral:ncRNA from 1 species
AAACAUUGAGGGCGGAACAGGCAGCCGCCACACCCUUUGGGUCUGAAAGAGAUGUAAGAUUGUCACCUUACCUUUGUUU